AUAUAAAAUGGAGUUUUCGGACAAAGUUUUUAUAUGACUUAGUGGCGGACGGGUGAGUAACGCGUGAGUAACCUGCCUUACACAGGGGGAUAACAGUCAGAAAUGACUGCUAAUACCGCAUAAGCGCACAGGGCCGCAUGGUCUGGUGUGAAAAGUAAUUCGGUGUAAGAUGGACUCGCGUCUGAUUAGCUAGUUGGUGAGGUAACUGCUCACCAAGGCGACGAUCAGUAGCCGACUUGAGAGAGUGAUCGGCCACAUUGGGACUGAGACACGGCCCAAACUCCUACGGGAGGCAGCAGUGGGGAAUAUUGCACAAUGGGGGAAACCCUGAUGCAGCGACGCCGCGUGAGCGAUGAAGUAUUUCGGUAUGUAAAGCUCUAUCAGCAAGGAAGAUAAUGACGGUACUUGACUAAGAAGCCCCGGCUAACUACGUGCCAGCAGCCGCGGUAAUACGUAGGGGGCAAGCGUUAUCCGGAUUUACUGGGUGUAAAGGGAGCGUAGACGGUCAGGCAAGUCUGAUGUGAAAGCCCGGGGCUCAACCCCGGAAUUGCAUUGGAAACUGCUCGACUAGAGUGCAGGAGAGGUAAGUGGAAUUCCUAGUGUAGCGGUGAAAUGCGUAGAUAUUAGGAGGAACACCAGUGGCGAAGGCGGCUUACUGGACUGUAACUGACGUUGAGGCUCGAAAGCGUGGGGAGCAAACAGGAUUAGAUACCCUGGUAGUCCACGCUGUAAACGAUGAAUACUAGGUGUUGGGGAGCGAUAGCUCUUCGGUGCCGCAGCUAACGCAAUAAG
rnacentral:rRNA from 1 species